rnacentral:rRNA from 1 species
CGGCGCACGGGUGCGUAACGCGUAUGCAAUCUGCCUUACACUAAGGGAUAGCCCAGAGAAAUUUGGAUUAAUACCUUAUAGUAUAUAGAGAGGGAGUCCUUUUUAUAUUAAAGUCACAACGGUGUAAGAUGAGCAUGCGUCCCAUUAGCUAGUUGGUAUGGUAACGGCAUACCAAGGCAAUGAUGGGUAGGGGUCCUGAGAGGGAGAUCCCCCAUACUGGUACUGAGACACGGACCAGACUCCUACGGGAGGCAGCAGUGAGGAAUAUUGGUCAAUGGGCGCAAGCCUGAACCAGCCAUGCCGCGUGCAGGAUGAAGCAUCUAUGGUGUGUAAACUGCUUUUGUACGGGAAGAAACCCUGCCACGUGUGGCAGAUUGACGGUACCGUAAGAAUAAGGAUCGGCUAACUCCGUGCCAGCAGCCGCGGUAAUACGGAGGAUCCAAGCGUUAUCCGGAAUCAUUGGGUUUAAAGGGUCCGUAGGCGGUUUUAUAAGUCAGUGGUGAAAUCCGGCAGCUCAACUGUCGAACUGCCAUUGAUACUGUAGGACUUGAAUUAUUGUGAAGUAACUAGAAUAUGUAGUGUAGCGGUGAAAUGCUUAGAUAUUACAUGGAAUACCCAUUGCGAAGGCAGGUUACUAACAAUGGAUUGACGCUGAUGGACGAAAGCGUGNGGAGCGAACAGGAUUAGAUACCCUGGUAGUCCACGCCGUAAACGAUGGAUACUAGCUGUUUGGUUGUAAGACUGAGUGGCUAAGCGAAAGUGAUAAGUAUCCCACCUGGGGAGUACGGGCGCAAGCCUGAAACUCAAAGGAAUUGAC